UUCAUCGUGGUGUAGUGGCACAGCAUGCCAGAUUUUCACGCAGCCGCCGGUGCACGCAGCCUGAGAGGCAUGCGCAUGGUGCCGAAACAUCUGGAGACCCGAUUUCGAUUCUCGGCGAUGGAA